UAACCGGUCUCAAUAAAGCAGAAACUGCUGC
rnacentral:piRNA from 1 species